rnacentral:lncRNA from 1 species
UCAGAGGGACUGGCCAUAGGCACAUGUGAAGCUUUCUUGCCAAUCUUCAUUGAACUCACACUUCAAAAGUCAUGGUUUUCUCUGUUUUAUUGUAAUUUUCUGUUUUAUUAUAAAGAAGAUUGCAGAAAAGAGGCAGAAUAGGAGAGCUGAAAGACAAAAAGAGUAUCUAAACAACAGAGGACACAUACUGGAUCUCUGGAGCUCAUCCCUUCAGAGGGUCCUUCCCAGAAGAACUGUAUCUCCACUACCUCGGUUCUCUGGAAUAAAUUACAACUUAUGAUUCACGAGUCCAAACAGGACAGUCUUUACGUCUACCCAUCUUAUAAUUGAUGUGGCUCUCAAGGAACAACAAAACCUAAGCAAAUUAUGGGAACAAGCAUUUAUCAACCACGCAAAUGAAGCCAUUCUUUGUUUUUCUACACCAGGAGUUCCAAAGUCAAGCUACAUUCAAAGAGAGAAACAACACAUUGGAUACUCAAGUUAUGAACCGUCAGAAGAGUCAGAAAUUCCUUAUAGGAUAGAACAUGUGCAAUUGAAAUCUAAUAUUAAGUUUUCUGUGGAAAAAAACAUAUAUGUGUACUAUAUGGCUAUCUGAUCAUUUUAAAAACAUACUCAGAAUACUUUAAUAAAACACUGUGAGUAUGAAUUAUCUAUGCUCUAAACACUUUACUUCUCUUUCUGCAUUUAUGCCAUCACUUCUUAUCUCUUUAUACCUUGAACUUUUUCUUUCCCCCCUCUCUCACUCUACGUCUCCUGAACAAAACUGUCAUUUCCAAUAUCUAACUUCAUUAACUAAGUAGGGAUGGCAGAUGUUUAUUAUCACCAAAAUGCAGCAUAACACUUGCAAACUGGUUUAUGACAUGUAUCUUUAUAAAGUGCUCAGUGAAAUGCAUAAACGAUUGAUUGAAAAUUGGUCAAAGAGAAUAUUGAGUACUUUAUUAGUUACUGGCUAAAGCUAAGGAGUUACAGAAAAG